GACCCGUCACAACGGCUUCCUGGCGUGACGGCGUAACCCAACGGAGCA
rfam:Thalassobacter sp. 16PALIMAR09 PM04_001, whole genome shotgun sequence.